UCAGAGCCCGUUAAUGGGUGAUGGCGUGCCUUUUGUAGAAUGAACCGGCGAGUUACGAUUUGAUGCAAGGUUAAGCAGUAAAUGUGGAGCCGUAGCGAAAGCGAGUCUGAAUAGGGCGUUUAGUAUUUGGUCGUAGACCCGAAACCAGGUGAUCUACCCUUGGUCAGGUUGAAGUUCAGGUAACACUGAAUGGAGGACCGAACCGACUUACGUUGAAAAGUGAGCGGAUGAACUGAGGGUAGCGGAGAAAUUCCAAUCGAACCUGGAGAUAGCUGGUUCUCUCCGAAAUAGCUUUAGGGCUAGCCUCAAGUGAUGAUUAUUGGAGGUAGAGCACUGUUUGGACGAGGGGCCCCUCUCGGGUUACCGAAUUCAGACAAACUCCGAAUGCCAAUUAAUUUAACUUGGGAGUCAGAACAUGGGUGAUAAGGUCCGUGUUCGAAAGGGAAACAGCCCAGACCACCAGCUAAGGUCCCAAAAUAUAUGUUAAGUGGAAAAGGAUGUGGCGUUGCCCAGACAACUAGGAUGUUGGCUUAGAAGCAGCCAUCAUUUAAAGAGUGCGUAAUAGCUCACUAGUCGAGUGACACUGCGCCGAAAAUGUACCGGGGCUAAACAUAUUACCGAAGCUGUGGAUUGUCCUUUGGACAAUGGUAGGAGAGCGUUCUAAGGGCGUUGAAGCAUGAUCGUAAGGACAUGUGGAGCGCUUAGAAGUGAGAAUGCCGGUGUGAGUAGCGAAAGACGGGUGAGAAUCCCGUCCACCGAUUGACUAAGGUUUCCAGAGGAAGGCUCGUCCGCUCUGGGUUAGUCGGGUCCUAAGCUGAGGCCGACAGGCGUAGGCGAUGGAUAACAGGUUGAUAUUCCUGUACCACCUAUAAUCGUUUUAAUCGAUGGGGGGAC
rnacentral:rRNA from 1 species